GGGAGCUUGCUCCUGGUGGCGAGUGGCGAACGGGUGAGUAAUGCGUCGGAACGUACCGAGUAAUGGGGGAUAACGCAGCGAGAGCUGUGCUAAUACCGCAUACGCCCUGAGGGGGAAAGUGGGGGAUCGCAAGACCUCACGUUAUUCGAGCGGCCGACGUCUGAUUAGCUAGUUGGUGGGGUAAUGGCCUACCAAGGCGACGAUCAGUAGCGGGUCUGAGAGGAUGAUCCGCCACACUGGAACUGAGACACGGUCCAGACUCCUACGGGAGGCAGCAGUGGGGAAUUUUGGACAAUGGGGGCAACCCUGAUCCAGCCAUUCCGCGUGAGUGAAGAAGGCCUUCGGGUUGUAAAGCUCUUUCAGCUGGAACGAAACGGUACGCUCUAACAUAGCGUGCUAAUGACGGUACCGGCAGAAGAAGCACCGGCUAACUACGUGCCAGCAGCCGCGGUAAUACGUAGGGUGCGAGCGUUAAUCGGAAUUACUGGGCGUAAAGCGUGCACAGGCGGAUUGUUAAGCAAGAUGUGAAAUCCCCCGGGCUUAACCUGGGAAUGGCAUUUUGAACUGGCAGUCUAGAGUGCGUCAGAGGGGGGUGGAAUUCCACGUGUAGCAGUGAAAUGCGUAGAGACGUGGAGGAACACCAAUGGCGAAGGCAGCCCCCUGGGAUGACACUGACGCUCAUGUACGAAAGCGUGGGUAGCAAACAGGAUUAGAUACCCUGGUAGUCCACGCCCUAAACGAUGUCAUCUGGUUGUUGGGGGAGUGAAAUCCCUUAGUAACGAAGCUAACGCGUGAAGUUGACCGCCUGGGGAGUACGGUCGCAAGAUUAAAACUCAAAGGAAUUGACCAUGGCCCUUAUGGGUAGGGCUUCACACGUCAUACAAUGGUCGGUACAGAGGGUUGCCAAGCCGCGAGGUGGAGCCAAUCCCAGAAAGCCGAUCGUAGUCCGGAUUGUUCUCUGCAACUCGAGAGCAUGAAGUCGGAAUCGCUAGUAAUCGCGGAUCAGCAUGUCGCGGUGAAUACGUUCCCGGGUCUUGUACACACCGCCCG
rnacentral:rRNA from 1 species